CAGUCGCCGCGGUAAUACAGAGGGUGCGAGCGUUAAUCGGAUUUACUGGGCGUAAAGCGUGCGUAGGCGGCUUUUUAAGUCGGAUGUGAAAUCCCUGAGCUUAACUUAGGAAUUGCAUUCGAUACUGGGAAGCUAGAGUAUGGGAGAGGAUGGUAGAAUUCCAGGUGUAGCGGUGAAAUGCGUAGAGAUCUGGAGGAAUACCGAUGGCGAAGGCAGCCAUCUGGCCUAAUACUGACGCUGAGGUACGAAAGCAUGGGGAGCAAACAGGAUUAGAGACCCGAGUAGUCCCUGUCUCUUAUAA
rnacentral:rRNA from 1 species